rnacentral:rRNA from 1 species
AGAGUUUGAUCCUGGCUCAGAACGAACGUUGGCGGCGUGGAUUAGGCAUGCAAGUCGAGGGAAUCCCAGCAAUGGGGGAACCGGCGUAAGGGGCAGUAAUGCAUGGGUACCUACCUUUGGGUUCGGGAUAGCCAUCAGAGAUGGUGGGUAAUACCGGAUGACGUCUUGCGACCAAAGAUUUAUCGCCCGAAGAGGGGCCCAUGUGAUAUUAGGUAGUUGGUGAGGUAACGGCUCACCAAGCCAAAGAUGUCUAGCGGGUGUGAGAGCACGACCCGCGCCACUCGCACUGAGACACUGGCGAGACACCUACGGGUGGCUGCAGUCGAGGAUCUUCGUCAAUGGGGGCAACCCUGAACGAGCGACGCCGCGUGUGCGAUGAAGGCCUUCGGGUUGUAAAGCACUGUCGAGGGGGAGAAAAGCGAAAGCUUGAUCUAUCCCUGGAGGAAGCACGGGCUAAGUUCGUGCCAGCAGCCGCGGUAAGACGAACCGUGCGAACGUUGUUCGGAAUCACUGGGCUUAAAGGGCGCGUAGGCGGGCUGUCAAGUCUGGGGUGAAAUCCCGCGGCUCAACCGUGGAACUGCCUCAGAUACUGACGGCCUCGAGGGAGGUAGGGGCGUGCGGAACUGUGAGUGUAGCGGUGAAAUGCGUAGA